UUUGGCGGACGGGUGAGUAACGCGUGGGUAACCUGCCUUAUACAGGGGGAUAACACUUAGAAAUAGGUGCUAAUACCGCAUAAGCGCACAGCUUCGCAUGAAGCGGUGUGAAAAACUCUGGUGGUAUACGAUGGUUCCGCGUCUGAUUAGCUAGUUGGUGGGGUAAUGGCCUACCAAGGCAACGAUCAGUAGCCGGCCUGAGAGGGUGAACGGCCACAUUGGGACUGAGACACGGCCCAAACUCCUACGGGAGGCAGCAG
rnacentral:rRNA from 1 species